rnacentral:rRNA from 1 species
AUUGAACGCUGGCGGCAGGCCUAACACAUGCAAGUCGAGCGGAUGACGGGAGCUUGCUCCUUGAUUCAGCGGCGGACGGGUGAGUAAUGCCUAGGAAUCUGCCUGGUAGUGGGGGACAACGUUUCGAAAGGAACGCCAAUACCGCAUACGUCCUACGGGAGAAAGCAGGGGACCUUCGGGCCUUGCGCUAUCAGAUGAGCCUAGGUCGGAUUAGCUAGUUGGUGAGGUAAUGGCUCACCAAGGCGACGAUCCGUAACUGGUCUGAGAGGAUGAUCAGUCACACUGGAACUGAGACACGGUCCAGACUCCUACGGGAGGCAGCAGUGGGGAAUAUUGGACAAUGGGCGAAGGCCUGAUCCAGCCAUGCCGCGUGUGUGAAGAAGGUCUUCGGAUCGUAAAGCACUUUAAGUUGGGAGGAAGGGCAGUAAGCUAAUACCUUGCUGUUUUGACGUUACCGACAGAAUAAGCACCGGCUAACUCUGUGCCAGCAGCCGCCGUAA